UACGGAGGGUGCAAGCGUUAAUCGGAAUUACUGGGCGUAAAGCGCGCGUAGGCGGUUUGUUAAGUUAGAUGUGAAAGCCCCGGGCUCAACCUGGGAAUGGCAUUUAAGACUGGCAGGCUAGAGUAUGGCAGAGGUAAGUGGAAUUUCAGGUGUAGCGGUGAAAUGCGUAGAGAUCUGAAGGAACACCAGUGGCGAAGGCGACUUACUGGGCCAUAACUGACGCUGAGGUGCGAAAGCGUGGGUAGCAAACAGG
rnacentral:rRNA from 1 species